CCUACGGGAGGCAGCAGUGGGGGAUAUUGGGCAAUGGGGGGAACCCUGAUCCAGCGACGCCGCGUGAGUGAAGAAGUCUUUCGGUAGGUAAAGCUCUGUCAGCAGGGAAGAAAGAAAUGACGGUACCUGACCAAGAAGCCCCGGCUAACUACGUGCCCGCAGCCGUGGUAAUACGUAGGGGGCAAGCGUUAUCCGGAAUUACUGGGUGUAAAGGGAGCGUAGACGGUGAAGUAAGUCUGGAGUGAAAGGCCGGGGCCCAACGCCGGGACUGCUCUGGAGACUAUUGAACUGGAGUGCAGGGGAGGUGAGCGGAAUGCGUAGUGUAGCGGUGAAAUGCGUAGAUAUUAGGCGGAACACCAGUGGCGAAGGCGGCUUACUGGACUGUAACUGACGUUGAUGCUCGAAAGCGUGGGGAGCAAACAGGAUUAGAUACCCGGGUAGUC
rnacentral:rRNA from 1 species